GGAAGUGACUGGAUGUGGAGAGGAGUGUAUCCGCGAAGGAACGCACAAGUGGCCUGACCUGCAGAAGAACGCUAGCUAGGCACUAGGCAUGCCGGCAAGGUCAGCUGAGAGCUGACCCCAGUGCAACGUGGAGGAGUUUGGUUGGGGCAGUCGGAGGAGCACCUGGGCCGCCAAGCGGCCAGACUUCGGGGGAAAGCCAUCUCUCUUCUGGCGCCUUUAUCGGCAGAGAGCUACUUGUACUCAAAACCUUGCACUCAUUCUCCAAGCCCACGUGGGUAAGAUUCACCCACACUGCGGAGGGCGUCGGAGCUCCACAGCCUGCCUGUCUGUAUGCUCCCAUAGAGGUUUGAGCAGCGGGGCACUGGAGAAGCAAGUCACACCCCCAUUGCACGCCAUGGGAGUAGGACAAGAAUUCUAGUUUUCAGGUCUGUAACGAUGGGCAGAUUUUC
rnacentral:lncRNA from 1 species